rnacentral:rRNA from 1 species
ACCUCCGGACUGGGGUUCGCAAGCUUCACGGCGAACGUACCUCGGGAAGUUGGUUAAACCCCACUAUUUAGAGGAAGGUGAAGUCGUAACAAGGUCUCCGUAGGUGAACCUGCAGAAGGAUC